GUUACGGCCAAUAUCCUGGUGAAAAUACGGCUUCCCGUUUCCGAUCAAGCCAUAGUCAAGCACCAGAGAGCCCAGUUAGUAUUGUAGUGGGAGACCAUACGAGAAUCCUGGGUGCUGUAAUC
rnacentral:rRNA from 1 species